rnacentral:rRNA from 1 species
UACGAACUGUGCAAACGUUAUUCGGAAUCACUGGGCUUACAGGGUGCGUAGGCGGUCUGUUAAGUAGGGUGUGAAAGCCCCCGGCUCAACCGGGGAAUUGCGCCAUAAACUGGCGGACUGGAGUGAGAUAGGGGUGUGCGGAACUUCCGGUGGAGCGGUGAAAUGUGUUGAUAUCGGAAGGAACGCCGGUGGCGAAAGCGGCACACUGGAUCUCAACUGACGCUGAGGCACGAAAGCCAGGGGAGCGAACGGG